AGAUCGAAUAAGGGCGUUCGGUGGAUGCCUUGACAUAAGAUGGCGAUGAAGGACGUAGCGUAGCUGCGAUAAGCUUCGGGGAGGUGCCUAGCAACCUUUGAUCCGGAGAUUUCCGAAUGGGAAAACCCAGUUGAGUAGACCUCAAUUAUCCUGGCCCGUAAGUGGCUAAGGAAGCUAACCCGGUGAAGUGAAACAUCCCAGUAGCCGGAGGAAAAGAGAACGAAAGUUAUUCCCCCAGUAGCGGCGAGCGAAGAGGGAAGAGCCCAAACCCACCUAACUUUUUGGAUUUGUUGUAUAAUAUCAACAUAUGUUUUUUUUCUAUGUACUCAAGAGCUUGAGUGAUGAGAAAUUUUAUAUUGGUUAUACUGCUGAUUUGAAAAAGCGUCUCGGUGAGCAUUGGAGUGGCAGAAGCUUGGCGACAAAGUGUCGCAGGCCAUUCACUCUUGUGUAUUAUGAGACGUAUAGAAAUUCUAAAGAUGCUUUUGCAAGAGAGAGAUUUUUAAAGACCGGAUGGGGUUAUAAUUAUCUUCAUAGGGUUUUAAAGAAUUAUCUUGCAGAAGAUAAAUGAAUCCAAAAAGUUGGGUGGGGGUUGUAAGGUAAGAACGACUUCUUUGGCUUAUAGCUUAUGGUUGAGAGCAGCAAUGCUUUUAAUCAUUUGCUAUGAGCUGUAUGGAAGAAUUGGUUACAAAUUGUUUUGCUAGUUGAAGUUUCUGGAAAGGAACGCCAAAGUGGGUGAUAGCCCCGUAAGCGAAAGCAAAGCAACCAAUAGUUUUUAAUCCUGUAUUCCACAUAUAGCACCAAUGUGAUGGUAGACAUUUUGUUUUGCUGUUCGGCGCGAGGAGCGAUGUGUAGCCAAUGGGCUACAUAAGUGACGAGCAACGAAGUAGCAAAACAAAAUGGCACCACCCAGAGGGAAUUCUAAAUUUAUUUAAUACCCGCGUUGCUUCUCCUUGGUGUAUCUAUUGAUACACCGGCGUCGGCGCGCCUUGGUCUUAAAUAAAUUUAGAAUUUCACAUUUGGCGAUAUAUGUGGAAUACAGGAUUUCCUUGAGUACUACGAGGCGAUGAUAACCUUGUAGGAAUCUGCCGGAACUAUCCGGUAAGGCUAAAUACAUCUUAUGAUCGAUAGUGAACCAGUACCGUGAGGGAAAGGUGAAAAGUAGUCCGGUGAGGACGGUGAAAUAGUACCUGAAAUCGAAUGCCUACAAAGAGCGGGGGCCUAACUGGCUCUUGUACAAAUACCACAAUAAGCGAUCGAGACAAUUUUUUUUCGUUUGCGAGGCGCGCUGAGCGAAGUGUAGUCGAAGACUACACGAGCGAAAGCGCAACAAAGCAAAUGUAAAAAUUGUCCGACCAGAGAGGAGGCCUGAAAUUAUGUGAUUUCAGCGUUACUCCUCAGAAACAGAGCUUCGGCUCUAGCUUUCUUCGGAGCGCCUUGAAAUCACAUAAUUUCAGGCCUUCGCUUUAUUGCGGAAUUUGUACAAGAGCCAGCGGGUGACCGCGUGCCUAUUGAAGAAUGAACCAACGAGUCUACAUUGCAUCGCAUAGUCUAAGUUGUUUUUACAACGCAGGCGUAGCGAAAGCGAGUGUUAAUAGCGCGUGGCCUUCGGGCCAGAGCGGUGUAUGUAGGACCCGAAGCCAGACGAGCUUGCCUUGAGCAGGGUGAAGCGCGAGUAAGAUCGCGUGGAGGCCCGAACCGGUUGAUUGUGCAAAAUCUUCGGAUGACUUGAGGUAAGGAGUGAAAAGCUAAUCGAGUCUGGUAAUAGCUGGUUCUCUCCGAAACAGUUUUAGGACUGGCGGCGGACAAUAAUUAAUAUGGGGGUAGAGCUACUGGUUGAGAGUCACAGGUCGAAAGACCGGGCUUUCAGUCAAACUCCGAAUACCAUAUUGAAUGUUCGCUAGUUAGAGUGUGGGGGCUAAGCUCCAUGCUCGCGAGGGAAAAAGCCCAGAUCGCAGACUAAGGUCCCAAAAUCCAUGUUAAGUGUUAAAAGUUGUUGUUUGCCAUAGACAGAUAGUAGGUUGGCUUAGAGGCAGCCAUCCUUUAAAGAGUGCGUAACAGCUCACUAUUCAACGCCUCCCUGCACAAAUUCCACGAUUAUUGAUCAGAGCAAAUUUUUACGAUAGUAAGGCGCGCGGAGCGCUGUGUAGCCUAGUGCUACAUAAGCGACGCGCAACGCAGCUAUCGUAAAAAUUUGCCUGACCGGAGGAGCGCCAAAAUCAAAUGAUUUCUGUGUUGCUUCUUCUCGCUGUGCCACAGGGCACAGCUUCGGCGAGACGCCUUGAAAUCAUUUGAUUUUGAGCGCUUCAAUAUAUCGCGGCAUUUGUGCAGGGAGGCUUCGGCCGGCAGCGCUGAAAAUGUACCGGGGCUAAACAUGGUACCGAAGUCGCGGGUCCCCAUCAACUUUCUUUGAAAGUUGGAGGGGGCGGUAGGAGAGCGUUCCAAGUGCACUGAAGCUGGACCCGUGAGGGCUAGUGGAGCGCUUGGAAGUGAGAAUGUUGGUAUGAGUAACCACAUUGCGGAUGAGAAAUCCGCACCCCGAAAAUCCAAGGUUUCCGUGGCAAUGGCAAUCAGCUACGGGUUAGGCGAUCCUAAGGCAAUGGUGAAAACCGCAGCCGAACAGGGAAGCCGGUUAAUAUUCCGGCCCGUCUAUAAUCGCGCGAUGGAGUGACGGGGGAAAUAAGGUUGUGCGUCUUAAUGGUUUGGCGUCGACCAGGAUAAGCAUUGUUACCCAGGUAAAUCCGGGUAGCUGUCUUUAAUGACGACUUGCGCGCCUGGGCGUAAGGUUAUGGUUUUCCAUAACUAAUACAACUGAAUAGCCCUCCAAGAAAAACUUCUAAGCUGACCAUGUGUUUUCAGUAUAUUAUCAAUUGAUAAGAUAUUGAAAACACAUGGUCUAAAGUUUAUAGAUUUCGUACCGUAAACCGACACAGGUGGAUAGGGCGAGUAGCCCAAGGGGAACGAGUGAUUCUUCGUUAAGGAACUCGGCAAAAAAGCGGCCGUAACUUUGGGAUAAGGCCUGCCCGUUUCAUGGCUUGCCAUGGGAUGGGCCGCAGCGAAAGUUUCUCUAGCGACUGUUUAUCAAAAACACAGCUCCCUGCGAAGACGUAAGUCGAUGUAUAGGGGGUGACGCCUGACCGAUGCGAGAAGGUCAAUCCUGCCGGUUUUAUUAAUUAUAAUAAGGCUGAGCGGGCUAAGCCCUCGUCAAUGUCAGCGAUAACUAUAAUCGUUCUAAGGUCGAGAACAACUUGCUGAGCAAGGUGUUCUCGAGGACUAGAACGAUUAUGGAGAUAAAUAGUGGAAUAAAGUUACCUAAUUGUAGAGAUACAAUUGUCUAAAAACAUCUGACCAUAUGCUGGAAAAUCUGAGUAUCCAUGACUACUAUGGUUGCUUCCGUCCAUAGAUUGUAUAAUGAUAAGGAUGAAAUCAAGUAACAAUGUCUUUGGUGCAGAAAAUCAGCAGGAAAGAUUAGAAAUGAGUUAUUGGAUUAGUGGUUUUACUGACGGCGAAGGUUCUUUCGUUGUUUCGGUAAUUUCUAAUUCAACAACACGAUUUGGAAAGCAAAUUUUUCCAGAAUUUGUUAUAACGCAAGGUGCUAAAAGUAAAAAAUCUUUAGAAGAAAUUCAAAAGUUUUUUGAAUGUGGAAGUAUCGUUUUGAAUAAAAGAUACGAUAACCAUAAUGAGCACUUAUAUCGUUUUUGCAUUCGUUCUGUGAAAGAUUUGAAUUCUAAAGUAAUUCCUUUUUUUGAUGAGUUCUCUUUAAGAACCAGUAAAAGAAAUGAUUUUCUUUUUUUUAAGAAAGUUAUUGAAAUGAUGGUUAAAAAGGAGCAUCUUACUGUGCGAGGCUGGAAUAAGAUUCUCGUUUUGGCCAGUAAAAUGAAUCGUCGAAAAAAGCGUUUCUAAAAUCCUCAGAGACUAAACGUCAGACUCCGCCGUGGCGGAGAAGAAAUAGUCCGACCUCUAUGGCGACAUAGAGAAGUUAAUAGAAAUAUUAACUCCUACGAAAGUAGAGUAACAUUAGUGAGCGCAAUUCCUUUCCGGGUAAGUUCCGGAGCGCACGAAUGGCGUAACGACUGGAGAACUGUCUCAACGAAGAGCUCGGUGAAAAUGCGAAUCCCGUGAAGAUGCGGGGUACCUGCAGCAAGACGAAAAGACCCCGGGAGCUUUACUGUAGCUUGAUAUUGGCUCUAGGGCUUUAAUGCGUAGAAUAGUGGGGAGACUUCGAAGCUUCGAUUUCGGUUGAAGUGGAGUCGCCAGUGAAAUACCCAUCUUUAUGGUCUUAGAUUCUAACCUCAACGGCAAAAACGUUGCGGGACAGUGUUUGGCGGGCAGUUUAAAUGGGGCGUUUUCCUUAAUAAGUAGCAUUUUCCGUUUGCUACUUGGGGGGAGCCACUACAGUAAUGUAGUGUGAACAAAUCAUCUAUAUGCUGGAACAUCCGCGUAUCCUGAAGUACUCGUUUCUUAAUAAUAGAAGCAGUGAAAAUCUUUCAGGCGAAUAGUCGCUUUAUCCGAGGCGACUGCGGGCAAUCAGCAGGAAACCCGAGAGGGGAUCCUCAGAGACUACACGAUGAUCUCCUGUUGUGCUAUAAUAGCAACAACAGGAUGAAGAUAUAGUCCGAUCUGUAUGGCGACAUACAGGUUACACAAAUGCGUGUAACACCUAAAAUCAUGAGAUCUAACGCUAUUGAGUCAAAAAAAAGCCGUUUAGUCUUAAGUCAGCAACAGCGAUCAAUCGUGGUUGGGACUUUAUUAGGAGACGGUCACCUUGAGACACGUGAUAAGGGUAAAACUUAUCGACUUAAGGUUGAACACUCAAUUGGGCAAAAGGAAUACGUAGAUUGGCUGUAUGAACGUUUAACUAACUUGACUGGUCAAGGACCAAAAGUUAAGAAAAGGGUUCCAAGAAAUAGCUAUUGGUUUUCUACCUAUUCGCUUAGCAAUUUUCGUUUUUAUGGUCAUCAGUUCUAUCCAAAUGGGAAAAAACUGAUUCCUAAAAUGAUUCGAAAAAUGCUGACCCCAUUAGCGAUUGCGGUUUGGUUUAUGGACGAUGGAUCUUACAAAUCCAGCGCUCAUAAGACCUUUAUUCUUCAUACCUUGGGGUAUGAAAAAUUAGAUUUAGAAUUAAUUCGGGAAUCUUUGAUCCAGUAUGGAAUCAAAACCAGCUUACAUCGGCAAAAAGAUAAAUGGCGGGUUUACGUUCUAUCUGAAUCAGCGAAGAGAUUUGAAGAAUUAGUUCAACCGUGGAUCAUUGAUUCAAUGAAGUAUAAAUUAGGGAACAUUGAGCCCAAAAAGUAACGGAGGAGUUUAUCAAGGUUGGCUUAGCUCGGAUGGAAAUCGAGCUUGACGCGUAAAGGCACAUGCCAGCUUGACUGCAAGGCGUACAUGCCACGCAGGUGCGAAAGCAGAACUUAGUGACCCGACGGAUCUUCAUAGGAAGGCCGAAGACAUCGGAUAAAAGUUACCCCGGGGAUAACAGGCUAGUGUCGUCUGAGCGUUCACAGCGACGACGACGCUCGGCACCUUAACAUAUUGGGGUGCUAUGAGAGUAAUUUCAUACCUGAUUACGUGUUUUUGACACGUAAUAAAACAAAAAUCUGACUUAUAACGGUGAAAUCCAUUGAUUGUAUAGAGCGGUCUAAUGGAUAAUGCCGUGGGAAGUCCAACCAGCGCCUGCGCUGGAAUAACUAAUUAACCUAAGUUCUAAUUGACUUAAAUAAUGCCUGAUUUGGAAUUUAUUUAAAAAAUUAGAAAUUAGAAAUUAGAAAUUUCAAUGCUCGGCAUUGGCCAUGACCCCGUAGAGACUUGAUUGAUACUCAAUCAGAGUUGGAGCUAUACAGUAGCGAUACUGAGCUCUGGCUAACACGUCAGCUCCUUUUAGAGAUAAAAGGAUGAAGAUAUAGUCCGAUCCUCCUAGUAAUAGGAGCCACAAUGACUGCGAUGUCGGCUCGCCCUAUCCUGGUGGUGAAGAAGCUACCAAGGGUUUGUCUGUUCGCCAAUUAAAAGGGCACGCGAGCUGGGUUCAAACCGUCAGAAUGAACCAAACAAUAACAUCGAAGUUGCACGGCGGCCUUAGAAAGUAAUUUCUAUUGAAUAAAUCGGCUCAUAUCGGUGAAACCCUCAUAUGAAUUUAACCUGUCAUAUGUAGAAGCUUUGCUUCUCAAUUGGUUCGCUCGGCCAACACAAAAAUAGAUUUUUGCGUUGCGCCUCGCUGCCAAUUGUAGGAUAAUACCGAGGGAAGUCGUAUAUGCUGAGUAAAGUCCACAAAGCUUAUCUUGCCGGAUUUCUAGACGGCGAUGGCAGUAUCUACGUUAGAGCAAAGCCCAAUCGGACUUAUCGCUUUAAUUACCAGAUAGCUGCUUACGUUGUUUUAUUUCAAUCUAGCAAAGAUAGAGCUCAAUUCGAAAAACUAUGUUCUUUAAUUAAUCUUGGAUAUCUUCGUGAGAGGAAUGACGGGAUUUUGGAAUAUAUUAUUGGUCGAGUUGAUGAAAUCGAAGAGUUUUUGAAGAUGGUUUCUCCUUUUGUAAUUCUUAAACAACGGCAGAUUGAUUUGAUGUUUGAGAUUCUGAGGUUGAAGCGUUUGGUAAAAACUAAAAAGGAUUUUGCAAAGCUCUUAGAAGAAGUUGAUCGAUUUCGGUCGCUUAACUACUCAAAGAAGCGUAAAAAGCGUAUAUUGACCCCGUAGAGACUUAGUCAGCGAUGACUAGAGUGCGCGUUGAAGCGCGUGCUAACACGCCGAUCCCCACCAAAAUUUUGGUCUUGCCAAAAUUUAGGCGGGUGGUGGUAUAGUCCGAUCCUUCUAGUAAUAGAGGUAAGUAAUUUUAGCGUGAGACAGGUUGGUCUCUAUCUGCUGUAGGCGUUUAGUAUUUGAGGAGAGUUGCGCGUAGUACGAGAGGACCCGCGUGAACGAACCUCUGGUCUACCGGCUUUACUACCAAGUGAACCGCCGGGUAGCUAUGUUCGGAACGGAUAAGCGCUGAAGGCAUCUAAGCGCGAAGCCAACUCCAAGAUGAGAUACUAGUGUUGGGGAAACCUGGCACGAUGAUUCGUGGAAGAUUACCACGUUAAUAGGCUCUAGGUGUAAGUGCAGUAAUGCAUUCAGCCGAGGAGUACUAAUCAAUCAUUAGAUUUAACCAC
rnacentral:rRNA from 1 species